GUCUUCCAAUACGUCUCUCUUUCUGUCCGGACUGAAAUUUUGACCUGUCCUUCUGGCUUUUCCUCAUGAAUGUCUUGCCAGCAGCUCAAAUCUAGUCUAGACUGGGCUUUUUUUUAUAGUUAAUGGGGGAAACAAAAAAGAACUUUCAGGCAUGAUUCACCUCAUUCUGAUGUAGAUACCUAAAAUAAGUCAGAUGAGUCGCAGCCUGCGAGUUCCUGUUUCUACCACAGACCAUCCAGGAAGUCUAGAUGACAGGUAGGGAAAUCCACACUGUCGACGUCUACAUUUGUAGGAGAUAAAUCCCAGCUGGUGUGAUCCAGGUUACAAAUCAACCUCUGCGAUGCUGCUCAGAUGUUUGCAGGACUUUUGGUUUUACUUUAGGGGCCUGGUGGAAGACUGAAGCUCAAAACCUUAGUAGCAUGAAUGGCUACCAAAGGCCCUCACAGAGCAGCUUCUCCAAGGCCAAAGCGGAAGAGACAGAGACCAAGGACUCCAUGUUCCUCGGAAGGUGGCUGGAUGGGUACGUGAGCCAGGAGGGUCCUCUGGGAGAAACUAGUGUCAGACUGCGCUCUAUGAAGGAGAUCUCUCAGGCGUUCUGGUUGAUACACCUGCAGCUGCCAGAGAGCUGAAACACCAGGUUCGUGAGAAGACAUUCCUCAUGGAUAUCUCAUACUCA
rnacentral:lncRNA from 1 species